GAUAGUAAAUAUUUUUGACUUUAGGCCACAUGUUAUGUCUGUUGCAACUACUCAACUCUGCUGAAUGAAAGUUGAUGUAGACAAUGAAAUUAAGUGGGCGGGGCUGUGUUCUAAUAAAACCUUAGUUAUAGAAACAGGCAGCUGGCCAUGGGCAGUAGUUUUCCAGUCCCUGUUUUAAGGUGUAGAAAAAGACAGAUUUUCCGUCCAUUAAAAUAACCUCCUUUACUUCCCAAAAUGACACUAUUGGUGGCAUUUAAGUAUAGAAACUUAUCAGUUUAUAGUUUCUUCCCAUAAAAUGGAUACUGGAAACUGGUAUCAGUAUCUUGGAAUUUCUUUUCAGGCAAAGAUGUAUUGUUUUUUUCCUUGAAAAUAUUUUAGAAGUAAUGGAUAUUCUUCAUUUCAGCAGCAUCUAUAUUCUCAGGCGAGCGGGAAGGCUGCCAGAACUUCUGUCAGUGUUUGUUCUGGAGCAGAGUACACACCAGCUCUACCUGUGCAUGGCCCCAACUUCAGGACCUGUUUUGUAUUCAGAGAGGAAAUGUAGUACAAUCUGGAGGAGAAGCUGUUGUCUAGAACUCUUCUGUAAAAUGCUGCUGCUUGCAAGUCCUCUCUGUAGCACGAAUGGAUGGCUCCAUGGAAAUAAUUACUCUGUGUGUAGAAGCAGUGUUUCCACAGGUUUAUGCCACUUUGGUUAAAAGCCUUCAAAUCCAAGAAUCAGGCAGUGAAUUUUAAUAUCAAACGUACAGAAAGAUCUAUUGUUCAAAUAAUUAGUUGACUUCUUAUGUUUAAUUGAGGUGUGUUCCUUAAGAUAACCUGAUCUGGAACAAUGCUCUCACAGAAGGGAGGAAGGAAACUUACUGAAUGCACGUUCUGGGCCUGGCUAGGUAUUUUAUACCUCGUUUUCACCUCCCCAAACCCCAGUAACUUUCUUCAUUUAGUGAACAGGCCCGGAGAGGAUGAUUUGCCCAAUCUUACAUGAUCUGGUAAGUGAGCUUUAAAUCCUGAAGUGAUUGAAUAACAGUAAUAGCAUUCAACUAUAAUUUAUCCUUUCUUACUUGGGCACUAGGAGGGGCUGCUUUUCUCUAACAGACAAAUACAAUAGGCAUGCAAAAAUUUUCCAUGCUUUUGCAAAAUACAACGAUAAAAGGACAUCCCUGCUUUAUUAUAAUAUAUAGGUAUAACUCACAUACAUUCUUUUUCAGGGAUGAAAACGACCAAUUCUGUUAUUCUCUGAAAAAAAACAGCAUUGCCAGGUUUCAAAUGGCCAAGAAAGCCCCUGGCCUGGUUGCUGAAGUGGGAUUGCCCAGUGGUCUCUUAACACAUUCUAUCACUCAGUUGUUGCCAUUAUUUGUGAACAGAUGGGUACAAUACUAUUUCCCAGUAUAACAAACCUUUGAAUUUGGUCACCACCCAAAGGAAAGUAAGAGAGGCUGGUUUUUGAUGGUUCAGCGGCAACAUUGGACCAAUAAGUAAUGACAUCCAGGCAUGGUUACUUUUGCCCCAGGAGCAUGGAAACCACCAGUCACAAGUCUGUGAGAUCAAGAUGACCGGCGGACAGCCUGAGGUAAUUUCAAAUUAAUCGCAGCCCAUCAGGUCCCAGAAUGAUAUACUUGGCUCUUGACUUUUCAUAUAUUAUGGAUAUUAACCCUGUGUCUAUAAUGCAGUUGGUUUCCCAGCCUUUGGAGUUGGUAUAUGAACCUGUUAAAAAAUGAGAAAUCUGGGCUCACACCAACCAGAUAUUUCACUUGCAUCUGAGAGACCUCUCCGGGCAACUCUACAGAGGUUUACUGGGAUUAAUCACUCAGAAAAUGAUGUACAACGUGACGGCUCAAGUGCCUCCAUGGUCGGGGUGUAUAAUGACCUGAGUUCUCUCUAAGCCAUAGACCCAAGCUAUAG